rnacentral:rRNA from 1 species
GACGAACGCUGGCGGCGUGCCUAAUACAUGCAAGUAGAACGAGUUGCGAACGGGUGAGUAACGCGUAGAUUAAUGCCUCCUUGCGGGGGAUAACUAUUGUAAACGAUAGCUAUUACCGCAUACUGUGAGAUGGACCUGCGUUGUAGUAGUUAGUUUGUGAGGUUAAGGCUCACCAAGGCGACGAUCCAUAGCCGACCUGAGAGGGUGAUCGGCCACACUGGGACUGAGACACGGCCCAGACUCCUACGGGAGGCAGCAGUAGGGAAGCUUCGGCAAUGGACGGAAGUCUGACCGAGCAACGCCGCGUGAGUGAUGAAGGUUUUCGGAUCGUAAAGCUCUGUUGUUAGAGAAGCGGUAACGAACCAGAAAGGGACGGCUAACUACGUGCCAGCAGCCGCGGUAAUUC